rnacentral:rRNA from 1 species
GAGUUUGAUCAUGGCUCAGAACGAACGCUGGCGGCAGGCUUAACACAUGCAAGUCGAACGCUCGUAGCAAUACGGGAGUGGCAGACGGGUGAGUAACGCGUGGGAACAUGCCCUUUGGUUCGGAACAACUCCGGGAAACUGGAGCUAAAACCGGAUAAGCCCCUCGGGGGAAAGAUUUAUCGCCGAAGGAUUGGCCCGCGUCUGAUUAGCUAGUUGGUAGGGUAAUGGCCUACCAAGGCGACGAUCAGUAGCUGGUCUGAGAGGAUGAUCAGCCACACUGGGACUGAGACACGGCCCAGACUCCUACGGGAGGCAGCAGUGGGGAAUAUUGGACAAUGGGCGCAAGCCUGAUCCAGCCAUGCCGCGUGAGUGAUGAAGGCCUUAGGGUUGUAAAGCUCUUUCGCGCGCGACGAUAAUGACGGUAGCGCGAGAAGAAGCCCCGGCUAACUUCGUGCCAGCCGCCGCCGUAAC